UACGUAGGGGGCGAGCGUUGUCCGGAAUUAUUGGGCGUAAAGAGCGUGUAGGCUGUUCGGUAAGUCUGCCGUGAAAACCUGAGGCUCAACCUCGGGCGUGCGGUGGAUACUGCCGGGCUAGAGGACGGUAGAGGCGAGUGGAAUUCCCGGUGUAGCGGUGGAAUGCGCAGAUAUCGGGAGGAACACCAGUAGCGAAGGCGGCUCUCUGGGCCGGUACCGACGCUGAGGAGCGAAAGCUAGGGGAGCAAACAGG
rnacentral:rRNA from 1 species